rnacentral:lncRNA from 13 species
UUUUCGAUUCCUUGAGAUUUUCCAUGUGAACAGCCGUGUCAUCUGCAAACAGACAUCAUUCUAUUUUAUCCUUUCAGCUCUUAGGCUGUUAGAAGUGAUCUCAGGUCUGCAUGCAACUUUCCAAGGGAAACCAUGAAGCCUUUACCAAAGUUGUGGCUGAACCAAGGAUGCCUGAGACAUCUUCAAACAGGUGCAAGGCAGUCGUCACAAGAUCCAGAAUCACCCCAAAGACUGAC